AGUUAACGUUGCGGCGUGCCUAACACAUGCAAGUCGAACGCGUCCUAAGGGCAACUUUAGGAUGAGUGGCGAACGGGUGAGUAUCACGUGGGUAAUCUUCCUUUAAGUGGGGAAUAAGCUCUCGAAAGGGAGUCUAAUACCGCAUGACAUUCCGGGACACAAGUCCCGUAAUCAAAGCCGCAAGGCGCUUGAAGAUGAGCCUGCGUCCUAUUAGCUAGUUGUGGGGUAACGGCCUACCAAGGCUCAGAUGGGUAGCCGGCCUGAGAGGGUGAACGGCCACACUGGGACUGAGACACGGCCCAGACUCCUACGGGAGGCAGCAGUGAGGAAUUUUGCGCAAUGGGGGAAACCCUGACGCAGCGACGCCGCGUGGAGGAUGAAGGCCUUCGGGUCGUAAACUCCUGUCAGAGGUGAAGAAUGCCCGCAAGGGUUUGACGGUAACCUCAGAGGAAGCCCCGGCUAACUACGUG
rnacentral:rRNA from 1 species